AGGUUACUGCUAUCGGUGUUCGCCUAAGCCAUGCGAGUCAUAUGUUCUUCGUGAACAUGGCGUACUGCUCAGUAACACGUGGAUAACCUGCCCUUGGGUCCGGCAUAACCCCGGGAAACUGGGGAUAAUUCCGGAUAACGCACAUAUGCUGGAAUGCUUUAUGCGUCAAAUGGAUUCGUCCGCCCAAGGAUGGGUCUGCGGCCUAUCAGGUAGUAGUGGGUGUAAUGUACCUACUAGCCUACGACGGGUACGGGUUGUGAGAGCAAGAGCCCGGAGAUGGAUUCUGAGACAUGAAUCCAGGCCCUACGGGGCGCAGCAGGCGCGAAAACUUUACAAUGCGGGAAACCGUGAUAAGGGGACGCCGAGUGCCAGCAUCAUAUGCUGGCUGUCCGGGUGUGUAAAAUACACCUGUUAGCAAGGGCCGGGCAAGACCGGUGCCAGCCGCCGCGGUAACACCGGCGGCCCGAGUGGUGAUCGUGAUUAUUGGGUCUAAAGGGUCCGUAGCCGGUUUGGUCAGUCCUCCGGGAAAUCUGACGGCUUAACCGUUAGGCUUUCGGGGGAUACUGCCAGACUUGGAACCGGGAGAGGUAAGAGGUACUACAGGGGUAGGAGUGAAAUCUUGUAAUCCCUGUGGGACCACCUGUGGCGAAGGCGUCUUACCAGAACGGGUUCGACGGUGAGGGACGAAAGCUGGGGGCACGAACCGGAUUAGAUACCCGGGUAGUCCCAGCCGUAAACGAUGCUCGCUAGGUGUCAGGCAUGGCGCGACCGUGUCUGGUGCCGCAGGGAAGCCGUGAAGCGAGCCACCUGGGAAGUACGGCCGCAAGGCUGAAACUUAA
rnacentral:rRNA from 1 species